rnacentral:rRNA from 1 species
GAUGAACGCUGGCGGCGUGCCUAACACAUGCAAGUCGAACGGAAAGGCCCAAGCUUGCUUGGGUACUCGAGUGGCGAACGCGUGUGUAACACGUGGGUGAUCUGUCCUGUACUUCGGGAUAAGACUGGUAAACUGGGUCUAAUAUCCGAUAGGACCAUAUUUUGCAUGGUGUGGUGGAUAGUUUUUGGGUGUUGGAUGAGCUCGGGGCCUAUCAGCUUUUUGGUGGGGUAAUGGCCUACCAAGGGCUCGCCGGGUCGCCGGCCUGGGGGGGUGUACGGGCACAUUGGUACUGAGAGACGGCGCAGACGGCUACAGUAGGCAAUAGGGGGAAAUAUUGCACAAUGGGGGCAAGCCUGAUGAGGCGACGCUGCGUGGGGGAUGACGGGCUGCGAGUUAUGAACGCCUUUCGCUGGGGACGAAUCAUUAUGUGACGGUACCUGGAGAAGAAGCACCGGCUAACUACGUG